GAUGAACGCUAGCUACAGGCUUAACACAUGCAAGUCGAGGGGCAGCACAGUGUAGCAAUACACGGGUGGCGACCGGCGCACGGGUGCGUAACGCGUAUCCAACCUUCCCGAUACUCUUGGAUAGCCUUCCGAAAGGGAGAUUAAUACAAGAUGGUGUUUCAAUUCCGCAUGUUAUUGAACUAAAGAUUUGUCGGUAUCGGAUGGGAUGCGUGACAUUAGGAUAGUAGGCGGGUAACGGCCCACUAGUCUACGAUGUCUAGGGGUUCUGAGAGGAAGGUCCCCCCANACUGGAACUGAGACACGGUCCAGACUCCUACGGGAGCAGCAGUGA
rnacentral:rRNA from 1 species